UACGAAGGGGGCGAGCGUUGUUCGGAUUUACUGGGCGUAAAGGGCGCGCAGGCGGCUCAUUUUGUCAGGCGUGAAAUCCCCGGGCUCAACCUGGGCACUGCAGUUAGAACUGGCAAGCUAGAGUAGGGUAGAGGGGUGUGGAAUUCCAGGUGUAGCGGUGAAAUGCGUAGAUAUCUGGAGGAACAUCAGUGGCGAAGGCGACACCCUGGACUCAUACUGACACUGAGGUGCGAAAGCGUGGGGAGCAAACAGG
rnacentral:rRNA from 1 species